rnacentral:rRNA from 1 species
AACGAACGCUGGCGGCAGGCCUAACACAUGCAAGUCGAACGCCCUAGCAAUAGGGAGUGGCAGACGGGUGAGUAACACGUGGGAACCUUCCCUAUAGUACGGAAUAGCCCAGGGAAACUUGGAGUAAUACCGUAUACGCCCGAGAGGGGAAAGAUUUAUCGCUAUAGGAUGGGCCCGCGUCGGAUUAGCUAGUUGGUGAGGUAACGGCUCACCAAGGCAACGAUCCGUGGCUGGUUUGAGAGAAUGACCAGCCACACUGGGACUGAGACACGGCCCAGACUCCGACGGGAGGCAGCAGUGGGGAAUCUUGGACAAUGGGCGCAAGCCUGAUCCAGCCAGGCCGCGUGAGUGAUGAAGGCCCUAGGGUUGUAAAGCUCUUUUGUCGGGGACGAUAAUGACGGUACCCGAAGAAUAAGCUCCGGCUAACUUCGUGCCAGCCGCCGCCGUAA